CUACGGGGUGCAGCAGUGGGGAAUAUUGGACAAUGGGCGCAAGCCUGAUCCAGCAAUGCCGCGUGAGUGAAGACGGCCUUAGGGUUGUAAAACUCUUUCGCUAGGGAAGAUAAUGACUGUACCUAGUAAAGAAGUCCCGGCUAACUCCGUGCCAGCAGCCGCGGUAAUACGGAGGGGACUAGCGUUGUUCGGAAUUACUGGGCGUAAAGAGUUCGUAGGCGGACUGACAAGUUAGAGGUGAAAUCCCAGGGCUCAACCCUGGAACUGCCUUUAAAACUGUCAGUCUAGAGACUGGAAGAGGUUAGGGGAAUACCUAGUGUAGAGGUGAAAUUCGUAGAUAUUAGGUGGAACACCAGUGGCGAAGGCGCCUAACUGGUCCGGUACUGACGCUGAGGAACGAAAGCGUGGGGAGCAAACAGGAUUAGAUACCCUGGUAGUC
rnacentral:rRNA from 1 species